GAUGAAGAACGUAGCGAAAUGCGAUAAGUAAUGUGAAUUGCAGAAUUCAGUGAAUCAUCGAAUCUUUGAACGCACAUUGCGCCCCUUGGUAUUCCGGGGGGCAUGCCUGUUCGAGCGUCAUUACAACCCUCAAGCUCUGCUUGGUCUUGGGCGUCACCGGUCCCCGGUGUGCCUUAAAAUCAGUGGCGGCGCCAUCUGGCUCUAAGCGUAGUACAUACUCUCGCUACAGACGUCCGGUGGAUGCUGGCCAGCAACCCCCAAUUUAUCAAGGUUGACCUCGGAUCAGGUAGGGAUACCCGCUGAACUUAAGCAUAUCAAUAGCGGAGGA
rnacentral:misc_RNA from 1 species